rnacentral:tRNA from 2 species
GCGGGUGUAGUUCAGUGGUAGAACGUCAGCUUCCCAAGCUGGAUGUCGUGGGUUCGAGUCCCAUCACCCGCU